AGUGAACGCUGGCGGUAGGCCUAACACAUGCAAGUCGAACGGCAGCACAGUAAGAGCUUGCUCUUACGGGUGGCGAGUGGCGGACGGGUGAGGAAUACAUCGGAAUCUACUUUUUCGUGGGGGAUAACGUAGGGAAACUUACGCUAAUACCGCAUACGACCUACGGGUGAAAGCAGGGGGUCUUCGGACCUUGCGCGAUUGAAUGAGCCGAUGUCGGAUUAGCUAGUUGGCGGGGUAAAGGCCCACCAAGGCGACGAUCCGUAGCUGGUCCGAGAGGAUGAUCAGCCACACUGGAACUGAGACACGGUCCAGACUCCUACGGGAGGCAGCAGUGGGGAAUAUUGGACAAUGGGCGCAAGCCUGAUCCAGCCAUACCGCGUGGGUGAAGAAGGCCUUCGGGUUGUAAAGCCCUUUUGUUGGGAAAGAAAAGCAGCAGGUUAAUACCCCGCUGUUCUGACGGUACCCAAAGAAUAAGCACCGGCUAACUUCGUG
rnacentral:rRNA from 1 species